rnacentral:rRNA from 1 species
UACGUAGGGCGCAAGCGUUGUCCGGAAUUAUUGGGCGUAAAGAGCUCGUAGGCGGCUUGUCACGUCGAUUGUGAAAGCUCGGGGCUUAACCCCGAGUCUGCAGUCGAUACGGGCUAGCUAGAGUGUGGUAGGGGAGAUCGGAAUUCCUGGUGUAGCGGUGAAAUGCGCAGAUAUCAGGAGGAACACCGGUGGCGAAGGCGGAUCUCUGGGCCAUUACUGACGCUGAGGAGCGAAAGCCAGGGGAGCAAACGGG